rnacentral:rRNA from 1 species
AGCUUGCUGGGUGGAUUAGUGGCGAACGGGUGAGUAACACGUGAGUAACCUGCCCUUGACUCUGGGAUAAGCCUGGGAAACUGGGUCUAAUACCGGAUAGGAACGUCCACCGCAUGGUGGGUGUUGGAAAGAUUUAUCGGUCAUGGAUGGACUCGCGGCCUAUCAGCUUGUUGGUGAGGUAAUGGCUCACCAAGGCGACGACGGGUAGCCGGCCUGAGAGGGUGACCGGCCACACUGGGACUGAGACACGGCCCAGACUCCUACGGGAGGCAGCAGUGGGGAAUAUUGCACAAUGGGCGAAAGCCUGAUGCAGCGACGCCGCGUGAGGGAUGACGGCCUUCGGGUUGUAAACCUCUUUCAGUAGGGAAGAAGCGAAAGUGACGGUACCUGCAGAAGAAGCACCGGCUAACUACGUGCCAGCAGCCGCGGUAAUACGUAGGGUGCGAGCGUUAUCCGGCCAGCAGCCGCGGUAAUAGCUCGUAGGCGGUUUGUCGCGUCUGUCGUGAAAGUCCGGGGCUUAACCCCGGAUCUGCGGUGGGUACGGGCAGACUAGAGUGCAGUAGGGGAGACUGGAAUUCCUGGUGUAGCGGUGGAAUGCGCAGAUAUCAGGAGGAACACCGAUGGCGAAGGCAGGUCUCUGGGCUGUAACUGACGCUGAGGAGCGAAAGCAUGGGGAGCGAACAGGAUUAGAUACCCUGGUAGUCCAUGCCGUAAACGUUGGGCACUAGGUGUGGGGACCAUUCCACGGUUUCCGCGCCGCAGCUAACGCAUUAAGUGCCCCGCCUGGGGAGUACGGCCGCAAGGCUAAAACUCAAAGGAAUUGCACGGGGGCCCGCACUAUUUACGCRGCGGRRAACUGCWAGAUKAAUUCGAYGSGAACGCGAAGAACCUUACCAAGGCUUGACAUGUUCUCGAUCGCCGUAGAGAUACGGUUUCCCCUUUGGGGCGGGAUCACAGGUGGUGCAUGGUUGUCGUCAGCUCGUGUCGUGAGAUGUUGGGUUAAGUCCCGCAACGAGCGCAACCCUCGUUCCAUGUUGCCAGCACGUAAUGGUGGGGACUCAUGGGAGACUGCCGGGGUCAACUCGGAGGAAGGUGGGGACGACGUCAAAUCAUCAUGCCCCUUAUGUCUUGGGCUUCACGCAUGCUACAAUGGCCGGUACAAUGGGUUGCGAUACUGUGAGGUGGAGCUAAUCCCAAAAAGCCGGUCUCAGUUCGGAUUGGGGUCUGCAACUCGACCCCAUGAAGUCGGAGUCGCUAGUAAUCGCAGAUCAGCAACGCUGCGGUGAAUACGUUCCCGGGCCUUGUACACACCGCCCGUCAAGUCACGAAAGUCGGUAACACCCGAAGCCGGUGGCCUAACCCUUGUGGGGGGAGCCGUCGAAGGUGGGACCAGC